UUGCUUCAGCAGCACAUAUACUGAAAUUGGAUCGAUACAGAAAAGAUUAGGAUGGCCCCUGUGCAAGGAUGACGUGCAAAGUAAUGAAACAUUCCCAUAUUUU